CGGCGGACGGGUGAGUAACGCGUGGGUAACCUGCCCCAUACAGGGGGAUAACAGUUGGAAACGGCUGCUAAUACCGCAUAAGCGCACAGUACCGCAUGGUACCGUGUGAAAAACUCCGGUGGUAUGAGAUGGACCCGCGUCUGAUUAGCUAGUUGGUGGGGUAACGGCCUACCAAGGCGACGAUCAGUAGCCGACCUGAGAGGGUGACCGGCCACAUUGGGACUGAGACACGGCCCAA
rnacentral:rRNA from 1 species